rnacentral:rRNA from 1 species
GACGUAGGGCGCAAGCGUUGUCCGGAUUUAUUGGGCGUAAAGAGCGUGUAGGCGGCCAUGCAGGUCAGCUGUGAAAACUCGAGGCUCAACCUCGAGACGUCGGUUGAAACCGUAUGGCUAGAGUCCGGAAGAGGAGAGUGGAAUUCCCGGUGUAGCGGUGAAAUGCGCAGAUAUCGGGAAGAACACCCGUGGCGAAGGCGGCUCUCUGGGACGGUACUGACGCUGAGACGCGAAAGCGUGGGGAGCGAACAGG